GGCCCGGUGGUGUAACAGUAACACGUCCUCCCAACUUUUGGUUAAGAUUUGAGUUCUGAGGAGAUCCCUUGUUCGAAUCAAGGUCAGGCCA